UCGAAUAAAGCUUUGUCUAUAUAUUGAUAAUGACAAUUUAUAUAUUACGUCUUGACCAAUUACGUGCCAGCAGUCGCGGUAAUACGUAAAAGACUAGUGUUAUUCAUAAGAAUUAGGUUUAAAGGGUACUUAGGCGGUCGUGAUAGCUUGUAAAAAUGCAAUUAUUUGACUAGAGUUUUAUACAAGAGGGUAGAACUUGCGGAGGAGAGAUCAAAUUCUUUGAUACCAAAGGGACUGGUAACGGCGAAGGCAGCCCUCUAUGUAAUAACUGACGUUGAAGGACGAAGGCAUUGUGUAACAAAGAGGAUUAGAUACCCCCAGUAGUCUUUGCAGUCAAUGAUGAAUGUCAUAUAUAAAUAAAAGUGUAAGCAUUCCACCUCAAGAGUAAUGUGGCAACGCAGAAACUGAAAUCACUAGACCGUUUCUGACACCAGCAGUGAAGUAUGUUGUUUAAUUCGAUGAUCCACGAAAAAUCUUACCGAACAAGUAUUGCACGGCUGUUUUCAGUUAGUGUUGUGA
rnacentral:rRNA from 1 species